GAAGGAGCUGGGGUGAGACACAGAGAGAGACCAGGCUUCAGGGACCCUAGUGGAGUCCAUGGGGUCAACAUCCCUGAUGUCCUUGUCCAUGUGCUCCCUGCCCUGGGGAUCGUGCUGACCCUGAGCCUCACUCUGAUCCUGGAGAAGCAGUGGAGCAGUGGGGACAGUUGAAGACAGUCCCCAGGGAGGAGGCACAGCAGACAUUCCCACAGUCACAGGAGUGAUUAUAGCUGGAUGACUGUUCCCUCCAUGUGGGAAUCUCUCAGCCACAGACAGUGUAUCCAUGUUCCUUGCAUCAGACCCCACAUGCUGCUUCAUACAGUCUUUCAUGUCACAGCUGAAGGAUGUCCUGCAGUCGUCACCAGAACCACAAGGGCAGGGCCCGACCUUGACAUUGGUUAUGGAGAGGCUGAGACCCUCACAACACAGGACCUUCUGUUCCUGAAGGGACAACCCUGGCUCCCACCCUCUGUGACCAUGGAGAUCAAGGUUCAAUUCCAGGAAAGGGUCGGACUCAUCACAAAGACUAACACCUCAGUCCAGGUCCAUCCUUCCUAACCUCCCCCUUCAGGGACAUGGGAUCACACCUCACUGGAUCAGUGGAUGGAAUGAUGUCACCUGUACCCCAUCAUGGAUCCCAGACUCCUAGGUGACAUUCUCUGCCUGCACGAAGGUGCUGUC